rnacentral:lncRNA from 1 species
AAUUAAUUGUUUUAUCAUAGUAUUUAUUAGUUGUUUGUUUUAAUCUUAAUAAUUCUUGUAUAUUUUCAUUAAGGAAUUCUAUAUAUUUUAUAUCUUUAGUUCUCAUAUAUUUUUCUAGAUUUGUUUUCAUUAGUUUUUCUAUUAAUUUUAUAUUUUUCGUAUCCAUUUUCCAAUAUUUUGAUUAUACGUAAUUAUCACGAUUGAUGUGUAGGUUUGGUAUGUAAGUAUUUGUAAGAAUAAGUAGGUAGGUGUGGUAUGUAAUUUAUUCUAGUCAGAAAAUAUUUAUCAAAUAUUUUUUUCAAUAUGAUUUUUCUUAUAUAUACAAUUUUUAUAUCUUUAAGUACAUACAAAACAAGUAUUUUAAAUUUAUCUACCAUUUCGUCAGAUAAGUAAGUAUUCAUUUUUGAUAUAAUGUUUUUUCAAAAUAUUCCCUUCAAUCAUACACAUAACAAAAUAUGAUCAUUUUAGAUUACUAUAUAUUAUAUUAUCCUUAAAUAAUAUGUUCUUCGGUCACUAUUAGCAUGGUAUGUUUUCAUUAGUUUUUCUAUUAAUUUUAUAUUUUUUGUAUCCAUUUUCCAAUAUUUUAAUUAUACGUAAUUAUCACGGUUGAUGUGUAGGUUUGGUAUGUAAGUAUUUGUAAGAAUAAGUAGGUAGGUGUGGUAUAUAAUUUAUUCUAGUCAGAAAAUAUUUAUCAAAUAUUUUUUUCACUAUGAUUUUUCUUAUAUAUACAAUUUUUAUAUCCUUAAGUACAUACAAAACAAGUAUUUUAAAUUUAUCUACCAUUUCGUCAGAUAAGUAAGUAUUCAUUUUUCAUAUAAUUCUUUUUCAAAAUAUUCCCUUCAGUCAUACACAUAACAAAAUAUAAUUAUUUUAGAUUACUAUAUAUUAGAUUAUCCUUAAAUAACAUGUUCUUCGGUCACUAUUAGCAUGGUAAUCUGGAUACUUUUCCCUUAAACAGUGCCUCUACUUUGGCUACUCCCCUAUCACGGCUUUCUUGCCUCACCAGUUUCACCUUUAGGAUGACAUAGUUCUUUAGGGAUUUUUCUCCUUUUCCACUUUGCUAAUAAACUUCUUAACAUGCUAUUUUUCAAAUAAUUCUACUAUAAAGUAACUAACAUGAACUUAUUUUAUCAUAUCAUGAAUGUCAGGAAUUUAUGAAUUUAGCUAUUCAUAAUCAUAAAUAUAAAUACCUGUUCUGGUAAAUCUAAUAAUUCUAUAUUUUCCAUAGUUGUUUGAUGAUUCAUAGCUUUUCCUUGGAAAUAUACCUGUUUUUAUUAAAUAAUUUAAAAAUUUUGUGUACAAGAGAGGGUUUUGC